GCACGUCUGGCCAGGAUACGAAUAUCCAAGACAGGAAGCUCUAAUGCCUUCCUCCACAGCAAACGGAAUGGCCUCUUCAGCGAAGCCUUGGAGCUCACGCAACUUCCUUACAAGAUGAACCUUUCAGACCAGAGUUCCACUGAGGAGGAGCAGCAGCGAGCAAGAACCAGUCUCUAUUAGAGAGCCAACACACCACCUUGCUGCAUUGUCUGGAGAAAACCACAAAUCAUGAGUUUGCAGAUGAGCUGUGUUAUGAGCAGAGCUACCUGGAGGGGGCACUCCAGAGCUACCCGUCUCAAAGCCCCUCCCUCUCCAGCCAAGAAGGCAUGACGGGCACCUGCUGUACCCGCCACACCAAGAGGAACCACGCCCCUUUACCCAACUCCAGUAUUCCCACGUGCGCCCUCUCACACACACACCCUCAUCAUAACCUACAGGAGCUCAGCACUAUCCACAUCCAGCCCCUCAACACCAGUCGCUCCAGUCUGAACAUGCGUGUGGACGAACCCGCGCGCCUCAACUGCCAGAGCGGCACGAUCACCACUGCGAUCAUCAGCAUUCCGACGCCCCCAGCGACCACUCCUGAGAGCGACGCCCACCCUCCACCCUCAGGCCCCGCCCUUCAGAACGUUGUGAAGGUGUCUGCGCUGUGAGUGUAGAAGCGCAGCAGGACGCGCGGACAGACAGACAGAUAGGAUGGAUAGACAGACUUAUGCAGAUAGACAGAAGGACAGUGCGAAGGAUACGACAGACGAGCAGGCGAAUGCUCUGAAGGCCGAGUCCCAGACUGAAGACAUGGAGAAGGACUGCCCUCUAGUGGAGAUCUACUGUAAUGACAUGGACUUCCUGUAGAAAUGGAGGAUGGAUUUUAGAUACAGUCUACUGUAGGUGUCUGGGCGCUUCUGUAUGUUUGAGUGGGCGUUUUUUGUGUGUUUGAGGGGUAUACGUGUGUGUGAGAGAGAAUGUGUGUUGGAGAAAAUAAAAAAGGUUUGAGUGUAUGAAUGAGUGUAUGAAAGAGAAAGAGAAGCACUUGAUGGGUSGCUGGAGAGAUGUAGAGCAGUAACGUCAUAUGUCACUGUGCACGCAGCACCUUUUUAUGGUUAGUGCUAUCCGGGAUCAUUGGGACAUCCCUACACUAUACCUUAACCCUUACCUAACCUUAACCCUUACCUUAACAAUAACCUUUACCUAACCUUAACAAUAACACUUACUUAACCCUAACCUUAACAAUAACCCUUACCUCACCCUAACCUUAUCCAUUUUAAAUUUCAACUUCAAUGGGGGUAUGGAUGUCCCAAUGAUCCCGGAUAGCAAGGGCGACCUUUUUAUGGUUUGGAACCUGAGUUUGACAUUUGACCUGUCUGGUCUUUACAUCGUUACAGCAGGAAACAGUGACCAUAUCAAAGAAAAGAACGCAGACAUAUUGAAAUCAUUAACGUUUUCCUCUGGUUUGUUUAGUUAUUUAUGGUUUGAUUCAGUUUGAUCCACUUAUUCGUCGUCAUAGAUACAUGUCACUCACCAUCCCAAAUCUUUUUUUUUCUUCUUUUUCUUCUCCCCAGGUAUAAUUUAAUUUCACAGUGAAAAUUCUUAACAGAUCAAACUAUGGUAGGUGUCUGUGUCAGAGAUACUAGUGGGUUUCUUAUAUUUGUGAACGUGUAGGUGUGUAUGCCUGUAUGAGUGUGUGUGAGUUUCAGGAGCUGUCUGUAGUUUAGCUCUUUCUGUAAGUGUCCGUGGCUCUGUAUACGUGUGACUAGCUGCCACUCAUGGAAAGCUGCUGUACAUAUUUCUGUCUAAAAUUCUCAGCUGGAAGCCUUUUACACAAUAUGUGCCUGUUUCGUUUGAGUAAAUUCUUGAUUUUAUUUCUCUUUUUUUGUAGGUCGGUUUCCCUCCCUUUGCUUUCCUCUGGGCUCUAGUUGUAGACAUUCAACAGACCUUUUAUGUAAACUUGCUUCAUUAUCCAACACCAAGACCAAAAAGGUUGUAUUUAAACUUAAACCACGUCUAACUAAAAGCACAAGGUGUUUGCUGAGAAUUUCUGACAGAGAUCUGUCCAGAGCCUGGGUUAUAUUGUGAAUAUUGUUAAUAGAAUAUUUUGUAAUAUUUUCCCAUUGUUUGGCAGAGCCAGUGAAGCUGUCCUCUCUCACUCUCUUUCUCUCUCGUUGUCGUCCUGUGUAUCUCUUUCUCUCUCGUUGUCGUCCUGUUGUAUUCUUCCCUCCGUUCUGUGUGAAGAACAAUAUGCUUUUGGUAGUUGUUUUUAGUCGUCAAUGUUUUCUCCCCAAACUCAGCUGGCAUUUUUCAAAGUUGUUGGGUGUCUGUAAUCUUCUAUGUGGAUAGAAACUUGGUGUUUGUACUUUUUCUGUGGCCUUCCAUGUUUUUCCCCUGGGACAUUCUAGGUCUUAAAUGUUUUAUUUUUUUCCUGGAGAACUUGAACCUGGGACAUCUGUUGUCAUGGUGACCACAGAGACAUAGAGGACAGGAUGACAKCCACCCAUGGACCUAAACCAACCUUAACAUCUAACACUAGCCAUUUAUCUUCUGGGUUAUAGGGUCUGAAAUGUCUCUUUACCAGAGACUAGAGUUGGGCUCAGUUAAUUUCAGUAUAUUCAGACUGAAUUCAGACCCCAACCCUUCCAGAGAUACAGGCACACAAAGGGGCAAUGCAGAGUAGAUCCAUGGCAUCUAUCUACGACAUGACACAGGACCUGUGAACCAACCAAACCAAAAGGGUUCAACUAUGUUGGAUCAGGAAGUUAAUGGUAUUGUCUAUUUAGUGGACGACCUGCAUUUGUAAGCACAGGUAUUGUUACUUUAGAACUUGAUGAUGUAUUCCGUGACCAUAGCUCCCAGGAUCUAGUAUAGACCCAGUCGUUAUGGGAUAGAACGUUGCGAUCUUGCCCUCCUGUAGGGAAAACAACCUGUGGUUACCUACAGUGCAUUCGGAAAGUAUUCAGAACCCUUGACUUUUUUUUAAAUGUUGUU